GUUUUUUCCACAAUCAACUAUGUAUUUACAUUACAGAUACAAACCCCCUCAUUGGCCCCCCCCUCCACUGAGGCAGGAAGUCAUGCAGUUGAAUUAUGCUUUAGCUGGGCCUGUGAAGAAACUGCUAGGCAGUCCCUGAGCACUGCGCUGUGCAAGUGCCUUAGGAGGCUUAUCCUUAAGGAAGAGAAGUCCAGAGCCAAAACUAACAAACAGGGCCCCUCAAGCGGAACAAUGGUCCAGAAAACUCAGCAAAAAAGAAAAUAAACUUCAUUGGCAGUUUGUUUUUGACUGUUAAGAGCUUAACUACAACUCUAUCAAGAUUUUUAAGAAGAGAUGAAGAUGGGGGCUCAGAGAUGAUCAGAGAUUUGCACACACUUGGGCAGCAGCUGAGUCAGGGCUCCAACACAAGCGUUCCAUCGCCUGACAAACCCACUCUCCCUCCUCUACCCUCACAGUGUUUACCUUGGAUCAGGACAACCACUAAGGUAUCAGCAGUUCCACUGCCAUGGCUGCUAAGAGCGUGGAACUGUGCUCAUCCAGAUGGGAACCCUUCAGAGGCAAACAGAGGAGUGGCCAAGAUCAUGACAGAAAUGAUGUGAAAGCCCACAAACCUCCUCCUCUCCAUGAUGUCCUCAUGAAGUGAAGAGAAGAGUGGGUAGAACUUACAAAAUCACACGUGUUACUGACUCUUCCUAAAUGUGGGAGACACAUAAGCAGAACCUUCCAGAAUUAGAAAGGUGGACUUUCUGACUUAACGUUUCUACUCAGGGUCAUGUCUACAUAGGAUCAAAAUAAGAAGUAACUUCACCUCUGCCCAUGGUCUUUCAUCAUAGGAUGGACACAUUUCCAAACCUCUGCUAGGGUCAUGAGGCUACAUGAUAGGAAUAUUGCACUUUUCAGUGUUCAUACGAUUAGCUAUUUCCCCUCCCUCAAGUAUCAUCAGUUCCCUCAGAAUUUUUAGCUUCAAAUCUCACAAUGACAGUGGCAGCACCAAGAUGAAGAAUGCACACACCCUUGGAAUGAACACACUCUUGUUUAAGGGCUUCCCUGCACUGCCACCCUCCCAUCCACUGAAAGCACAGGGAAGCUCCUCUUAGCCUUUCCCCCAGAGAGAGAGACUCUCUAGGCUCUGCAGACAUCAUGGAGCCAAAAUUACACUGGUAGCUAUUGCCAGCCUCCUCCUCAGCCCAGAGCUCUGAGCUGAAAGAAAGACAUGAAGAGGCAUCGCCACCUUCUCUUUUGAUCUUGUCACAUAUGUAUCUAUGUAGUAGAGAAAGAACCAUUGAGACUUGAGAAAGAAUUGUUGUUUACAAAAGCAAUAAAGAUUCAUAAUAUUAUACUAAUAAUAGCACAUGUUGAGAGUUACAAAUAUGCUUUGUAAGCUAGCAUUGUGUGAAAAAACUUUCAAGAAGUAUUAUUUUGUCUUUAAUAUCAUCUUUCUGAAAAGAUCAAAGGUCCGAUUCCUAUCAGAAAUAUGCGUAGGGAGGCAAGUAUUUCAACCUUACUAGAAAAGGCACAAUCCAGAAUGCACCAUUAGCAGGUGUAAUUCUGUGAGCAAAGGGCUACAGAGUGUAAGAAAGAGGUACAAAAUAAUAAAGCUGGAAAGGACCUUAGGUUAUAUGGAUUUUACUUCUCUCAUUUUACAGAUGCAAAAAUCAAGGUCCCCAGAGAAGUAUUUGGAAUAUACUUAAUAUAUUUUUAAAAGAAUAUAUCAUGGACACAAUGGAUACAACUCAUCCAUAAAAAAGAAUAACCUACGGACAUGUGCAACAUCACUGAUGACUCUCACAGACAUGGUCCUAGGUGAAAGAAGCCAGAAACACACUGAGGAUUCCAUUUGCAUGAACUUUUAGAACAGGCAAAACUGAUGCAAAGUGGAAACAAUUAGAACAGCGGUUGCCUGUGGGGUGAGAGGAUGAGUACUGGGGAAGUACUGAGUGUGAAGGGUCCAAGAGGGCUUUCUGGGAAGAUGGAGCUCUUCCAAUUUAUGACACAAGGUGUAGGUUACACGGCUACAUCCAUUUGUCACAAUGGGGCAGUUAAGACUUGUGCCUUUUAAUCCAUAUACAUUUUAUCUUAAAAAACUGUAAAGAAAAACAGCAAUCUUUCAGUGGUGGUAUGACGAGUAGGUGGGGGGAAGAUGGAAUGAGAAUGGCCAAAUGCUGUUAACUGUUGAAGUGGGCACAGGGAUUUACUCUAAAUAUGGCUGAAACUUUUUGUGACAUAAACUUGUGAAAGAUGAAUGUGAUGAGCAAGGGAAUGUUCAAUCAUAUUUGGAAGUGUGAGCACUUGGGAUACUGGUCCAGGACUCUUUUCAAUUCCUUAAGGAGACAGGGCCUUGGGUGUGUCGCCCAGGCUAGAGUACAGUAGCGCAACCACCUUUAAAUUCUUUAUAUUCUUGAGUUACCUUAAUGUUUUUAGCUAUGUUCUAGGUCCUCUUCCCAUCUUGAGCCUCUCUCCCCCACUUCCUAAAGCAAAGGAGUAACCUGAGAGCCAAAGGAAGCCCGAGGAGCUCACCCAAGUCCUCACACGAGGCCUCUGAAGAGAUUGUGACACCUCCUGGCUGAGCAGUCAGCUGCCAAAUUGCCAGGACACAGAUUCUCCAAUCAGUGCCACACAGUGUUUGCCUAUGAGAAAUACCCCUUCCUUGUUCUGUACCUCUGAGAUAGCCAAAUACCUUUCAAGACUGAAAAUGCUUCACUCUCACAUAAUAAAAACAGGACAAAAUGAGAUGCAAUUAGAUUGCCCUCUCAUAUAUCUUUUAUUAUGAUGGCCAAAAUAAAUUCUUUUAAUCUUUACAUUUCUUACCUAUUUGUUAUUUUAGUCUCAAAUCUUACUUAAUAUCUUCUGUCUUAAAUUAGAAUUUGCAUAAUACAAGGUAUCAAAAGAAACAUUAUUGGCAGUAUUUCUUUGCAGAUAUUAUUAAAUUAGUUGGUGAUUCUCCAGUGUAUCAACUUGCCUCCAUCUAGGGAGCAGAGUUCAUAAAAGGUGGCAGUAAGAAGUUAUUAAUGAGUUUAUUUUUCAUUAAUUUUAUAUGAGCUACAAAAGUAUUUUAACAUAAUAAAUUCAAAUAUCACAGACCCAACAUAGGAGUUUAAACAAACAAACAAAUGAAUUAAAUGGGUUGAAUUCGUUUUCUGUUUAGGGUAAAAGCUACAUGAUACGAAGUGAUCUCAAAGUGCUUUAUGUGAAUUAUCUCACAAGUUGACUUAGAAUAUCCAUAAAAUACACUCUGUAAUUGCAUACAGUGUGACUGUGAAGAUACCUUCAUAGCACUUGACCAUUUGUUAUUAAAAUUCCCAUCCAAUAGCAGUUCCUGCUUAUUGCAUAACACCAACAGGUCUUGUAAAACAUACAUUUAAAGGAAACACAACAGUGUUACUAAAGAUCAUGCUUCAGGGACAUGGAUGAGGCUGGAAGCCAUCAUCCUCAGCCAACUAGCACAGGAACAGAAAACGAAACACUGCAUGUUCUCACUCGUAAGUGGGAGCUGAACAAUGAGAACACAUGGACACAGGGAGGGGAACAACAUGCACCAGGGCCUGUUGCAGGGCUGGGGGUGAGGGGAAGGAAUUCAGAGGAUGGGUCAAUAGGAGCAGCAAACCACCAUGUUGCACAUAUACUUAUGUAACCUGCACGUUCUGCACAUGUAUCCCAGAACUUAAACUAAAUAACAAAAUAUUAAAAAAGAAAUGAAAGCUAAAAAAAAAAAAAAAAAGAAUUCUACUGUGAAUAAAGCUGAGCUAUGAAAUCACAUGUCUGAAAGCAUUGUAUCUGACCAGGGGACUUACAGUGUAAAGUCAUGGAUGCUGCCCUAAAUGUUGCUAUGGAAAUUUUCCGAGAAAACAACUUUAACUUACUGAAAUAUGCUUUUUUUUAAA
rnacentral:lncRNA from 1 species